GACACAACACCGAUAGUCUAAUUCGCUUGCCAAAUGCUUUUGAUGUUUUCGUGAUUGAAAUGGAUUUACAAUGGGUGCACUUAACUUGUAGGAAUUUCUGUAAAGAAAUGGCUUGCUAGGUAUUUUGACGGCAAUGGUGCAUUUAGACAUAGACAUAGACCAAUUAAAGAUGUUCUUAAUAAUUCUUAAUGCCUUAGCCAAGAAGUAAGAAAUACUGAUAGAAAGCUUUGUAAGGUAGCUUGUCGUGAUCUCGGCCUAAAAGUAGGCACUUAAUUAGGUCGUGCUUAAGGUCGGGAAAAAUGUUAACUAGGCUGUCAGGAAGAGCAUUUCUCCAACUGCAAUUUUUGGAGUUCAGACUCGGGGUCCCGACCCGAAGCGGUAGCCACUGGGCAUUAAUUGCGUUUAUACCAGCGAACGAGAAAGUGCGUCCGUGCUGUCCGAGAAUUAAAGUGAUCUCUCAAAAAAAUACAGAAAAAAUGAGAAAUUCAACAAGUCAAUAAUUCAACCAAUUCAACCAAACCCCAGUGAAUCGGAAAAUUUAUAUUUCGAUUAACUUUAGUGCCAGCCCCUAGAGGGUAAGUUUUGUGCGUGUGUUGUGGUUCAGAAUUUUUUUGUUAAGGCCAUAAAAUUACAGGUGGCACCUAGGAAAAUAUUUAAUUUUCAAGAGAAUAACUAAUGCCAGUGCGACCAGUGAAGGAAACAUAAAUUUGCCGACCAGGAGGUCUAAUUCUGGAUUGCAUCAGACAGCAGCCACCGUUAAGCGCAGGAAAAUGAUUUAAUUGAAUUCAAUAACAUUAUCUACAUAUAUACCCAUUUUUACCUUACACCGCUUCACACCUGACCGACUGCUUGUUAAGCAGAUCGGCAAACAGUCAAGCAGAUCAGCAUAAGAUAUUCCGAUAGGAAAAAAAUAAAAAUUCACCUUAUGUUAGGAAAUUAAUUUAAGUUAUGUUGUAAGAGAAUAGAAUUCAUUUAGGGCAA